rnacentral:rRNA from 1 species
UACGUAGGGUGCAAGCGUUGUCCGGAAUUAUUGGGCGUAAAGAGCUCGUAGGCGGUCUGUCGCGUCUGCUGUGAAAACUCAGGGCUUAACCCUGAGCUUGCAGUGGGUACGGGCAGACUAGAGUGCGGUAGGGGAGACUGGAAUUCCUGGUGUAGCGGUGAAAUGCGCAGAUAUCAGGAGGAACACCGGUGGCGAAGGCGGGGUCUCUGGGACGGUACUGACGC